ensembl:snRNA U6 U6 spliceosomal RNA
GUGCUUGCUUACCCAACACAUAUACUAAAAUUGGAAUGAUACAGAGAAGAUUAGCACACUCCCUGCACAAGAAUGACAUACAAAUUUGUGACACAUUCCAUAUUUUU